UGGGGAAUAUUGCACAAUGGAGGGAACUCUGAUGCAGCGACGCCGCGUGAACGAAGAAGGCUUUCGAGUCGUAAAGUUCUUUUAUAUGGGAAGAUAAUGACGGUACCAUAAGAAAAAGCCCCGGCUAACUACGUGCCAGCAGCCGCGGUAAUACGUAGGGGGCUAGCGUUGUCCGGAAUCACUGGGCGUAAAGGGUUCGCAGGCGGAAUUGCAAGUCAGGUGUAAAAGGCAGUAGCUUAACUACUGUAAGCAUUUGAAACUGCAUAUCUUGAGAAGAGUAGAGGUAAGUGGAAUUUUUAGUGUAGCGGUGAAAUGCGUAGAUAUUAAAAAGAAUACCGGUGGCGAAGGCGACUUACUGGGCUCAUUCUGACGCUGAGGAACGAAAGCGUGGGUAGCAAACAGG
rnacentral:rRNA from 1 species